AACCGUAGUUUAAUGGAUAGAACAGCGGCCUUCUAAGCCGCGGGCGCGGGUUCGAUUCCCGCCGGUUU
rnacentral:tRNA from 1 species